UACGGGGGGAGCAAGCGUUGUUCGGAUUUACUGGGCGUAAAGAGCGCGUAGGCGGCACCGCAAGUCGACUGUGAAAUCUCCGGGCUUAACUCGGAAAGGUCAGCCGAUACUGCGGGGCUAGAGUGCAGAAGGGGCAACUGGAAUUCUCGGUGUAGCGGUGAAAUGCGUAGAUAUCGAGAGGAACACCUGCGGCGAAGGCGGGUUGCUGGGCUGACACUGACGCUGAUGCGCGAAAGCUAGGGGAGCGAACGGG
rnacentral:rRNA from 1 species